rnacentral:lncRNA from 1 species
UUUUUUUUUUUUUUUUUUUUUUUGUAUAAAGACUUUAAUGACUAUUCUUAUUUGAGUAAGAACACAUUUUAGUUUUUGCACAUAUGCGCAUAAAAUUAUUUUUUGAGCAUUAAAGUAUUAUUAUGCACUAAAAUGGGACUCUGAGUUGAACUUAUAAUAAAUUUAUACAGUUGUAACUUAUAAAGAUAUUUGAUUAAGAAAUACGUGUUUUUAAUAUAUGAAAGAAAGUGUUCAUCUUUUGGGACAAAACUUUAUUACGUACCAACUAAAUUAUACAAUUAAAAAUCUCUCAAUAGACUAAGAAAUACGUGUUUUUAAUAUAUGAAAGAAAGUGUUCAUCUUUUGGGACAUAAUCGCUAUAAUUAAAAUAUUGUGAUUCCUUAGUCUAUUGAGAGAUUUUUAAUUGUAUAAUUUAGUUGGUACGUAAUAAAGUUUUGUAUCAUUUAUAUGAUAAUGAAUAUAUCACUAGGAUAAGUGAGAGAAUAUUGGAUGUGGCCUACGUGAUUUAUUCAAGGUGAUCUAUAAAUACUGCGUUUUGUUCGGAUAUAAGUAAGAACUGCUUAUUCUCAGAAUAGAUACAAGUUCAGGUAUAAGUAGGAACAAGACCAAUUUUACGUUUGGAUAAAAUUGGUUGUUCCUAGAAAUAAAGUAAUAGUGUUUUGAUGAUUAAAUUGGAACAAAAGAAAUAAGAGUUAUAAUUUUAAACUAAAAUUAUUUUAUCUAAUUAAUUAACAUCAAAUAUUACUUAAAAAUAAUUUAAUAAAUUUAUUUUUAGUAAAUUUAAUUAAUAAAUUUAAAAUAAUUUACAUGAAAAUUAGGUUGUUCCUUCAGUGUUCAGAAACAAAGAGGGGAAUAAGGGCUUGUUCCCCUCUUGUUCCCGAACCAAGCACUGCCUAAAGAUACAAUUGAUCUAUUCAAAAUGAUUUAUAAAGAUAUGGUAGAUAUAACGGUUGGCAUGUAUCUGAACACGUAUUUGAUGGAUGUACGUGAUUUAACAUUUUUACAUUAAGUUAUAUAUAAAUAUAUAACAUACGGGAGUUCCGGUUUAACCCAAAUCAUAAUUUUUGUGACGGCUCCAUCUCCAGGGAUAAGAGAACAGACACGAAACGUCCCGCUCUUUUAAUUUUGCAGAUCGUGAACGAGGACGAAUCAUAAGAAAGAAUCGCCGUCUACAAUCCUGAUGUAGAAAUCGAAAUUAUGACAGAAGAUACAAUCUUAAUUUCUUAUAAAGUUUAACCAGUCGUCUUCAAUUCAUUUCAAAUCAUAAAAAAUGCAUAACAUAUAUA